UACAGAGGGUGCAAGCGUUAAUCGGAAUUACUGGGCGUAAAGCGAGCGUAGUCGGUUAUUUAAGUCGGGUGUGAAAGCCCCGGGCUCAACCUGGGAAUUGCAUUCGAUACUGGAUAGCUAGAGUUCGGCAGAGGGAAGCGGAAUUUCCGGUGUAGCGGUGAAAUGCGUAGAUAUUGGGAAGAACACCGAUGGCGAAGGCAGCCAUCUGGACCGACACUGACGCUGAGGCGCGAAAGCGUGGGGAGCAAACAGG
rnacentral:rRNA from 1 species